UGACGAGUGGCGGACGGGUGAGUAAUGUCUGGGAAACUGCCUGAUGGAGGGGGAUAACUACUGGAAACGGUGGCUAAUACCGCAUAACGUCGCAAGACCAAAGAGGGGGACCUUCGGGCCUCUUGCCAUCAGAUGUGCCCAGAUGGGAUUAGCUUGUUGGUGAGGUAACGGCUCACCAAGGCGACGAUCCCUAGCUGGUCUGAGAGGAUGACCAGCCACACUGGAACUGAGACACGGUCCAGACUCCUACGGGAGGCAGCAGUGGGGAAUAUUGCACAAUGGGCGCAAGCCUGAUGCAGCCAUGCCGCGUGUAUGAAGAAGGCCUUCGGGUUGUAAAGUACUUUCAGCGGGGAGGAAGGUGUUGCGGUUAAUAACCGCAGCAAUUGACGUUACCCGCAGAAGAAGCACCGGCUAACUCCGUGCCAGCAGCCGCGGUAAUACGGAGGGUGCAAGCGUUAAUCGGAAUUACUGGGCGUAAAGCGCACGCAGGCGGUCUGUCAAGUCGGAUGUGAAAUCCCCGGGCUCAACCUGGGAACUGCAUUCGAAACUGGCAGGCUUGAGUCUUGUAGAGGGGGGUAGAAUUCCAGGUGUAGCGGUGAAAUGCGUAGAGAUCUGGAGGAAUACCGGUGGCGAAGGCGGCCCCCUGGACAAAGACUGACGCUCAGGUGCGAAAGCGUGGGGAGCAAACAGGAUUAGAUACCCUGGUAGUCCACGCCGUAAACGAUGUCUACUUGGAGGUUGUGCCCUUGAGGCGUGGCUUCCGGAGCUAACGCGUUAAGUAGACCGCCUGGGGAGUACGGCCGCAAGGUUAAAACUCAAAUGAAUUGACGGGGGCCCGCACAAGCGGUGGAGCAUGUGGUUUAAUUCGAUGCAACGCGAAGAACCUUACCUGGUCUUGACAUCCACGGAAGUUUUCAGAGAUGAGAAUGUGCCUUCGGGAACCGUGAGACAGGUGCUGCAUGGCUGUCGUCAGCUCGUGUUGUGAAAUGUUGGGUUAAGUCCCGCAACGAGCGCAACCCUUAUCCUUUGUUGCCAGCGAUUAGGUCGGGAACUCAAAGGAGACUGCCAGUGAUAAACUGGAGGAAGGUGGGGAUGACGUCAAGUCAUCAUGGCCCUUACGACCAGGGCUACACACGUGCUACAAUGGCGCAUACAAAGAGAAGCGACCUCGCGAGAGCAAGCGGACCUCAUAAAGUGCGUCGUAGUCCGGAUUGGAGUCUGCAACUCGACUCCAUGAAGUCGGAAUCGCUAGUAAUCGUGGAUCAGAAUGCCACGGUGAAUACGUUCCCGGGCCUUGUACACACCGCCCGUCACACCAUGGGAGUGGGUUGCAAAAGAAGUAGGUAGCUUAACCUUCGGGAGGGCGCUUACCACUUUGUGAUUCAUGACUGGGGUGAAGUCGUAACAAGGUAACCGUAGGGGAACCUGCGGUUGGAUCACCUCCUUA
rnacentral:rRNA from 1 species